GACAGAGGCCUCAAGCGUUUAGGCGGAAUCACUGGGCGUAAAGGGUGCGUAGGCGGGUCUUUAAGUCAGGGGUGAAAUCCUGGAGCUCAACUCCAGAACUGCCUUUGAUACUGAAGAUCUUGAGUUCGGGAGAGGUGAGUGGAACUGCGAGUGUAGAGGUGAAAUUCGUAGAUAUUCGCAAGAACACCAGUGGCGAAGGCGGCUCACUGGCCCGAUACUGACGCUGAGGCACGAAAGCGUGGGGAGCAAACAGG
rnacentral:rRNA from 1 species